AAGGCGCGAAGAAGGAACCGAUGGACGAGGAGAUGACAUACCACUUCUGGUCGUUGAUCUUGCAGCUUGGCUCGGCCGGCUGCUGCCCGCCGCCAGCGCCCUUCUUCUCUAUGGAGAUGAGUGGCGGGAAGGAGAUGACAGCCGAGAUGACCCACACGGUGACAAUGAUGGCCUUGAUGCGACGCGGCGUGCGCUUCAGGUUGUACUCGAUGGCCUGCGUGAUGGACCAGUAGCGGUCAAGGCUGAUGGCGCACAGGUGCACUAUGGACGACGUGCAAAAGAGCACGUCGAGAGCCAAAUAGAUCUCACACCACACCUUACCAAAGUACCAGUAACCCAUAACCUCGUUGGCCAAAGAAAAGGGAAUGACCAGCGUGGCCACCAGGAUGUCCGCUGAGGCCAGGGACACCAGGAAGAGGUUUUGGGGAGCUUUGAGCGCGCGACUGGUGAACACCGCGAUAAUAACCAGCACGUUGCCAAAUACUGUGAACAGCAUGAGCAGGCCAGCCAGGCAAACCAGCGUCAGUGUCACCUGCAGGGAGUAAGGGGUGGCUCGGGUGCCGCCUCCGGGCGCUUCGGUCCCGUUCCAGCUGCUGUUGCCGGCAUCCGGCUGCAGUGAGCCCAUGGGCGCAAAGCUGCCCUCGGCCAGCGGCUGCUCCUGGCGGAACAUGAACGCGGGUGCUGGUUCUCGUGGGCCUGCUGCCAGCUGCCUUCCGGCCCCGCGUCCGUGGGUCCUCCUCUUCCUCCGGUGCGGGGUUCGUCCCGCCGCGCCUCACAUAAGGAAGAGGGCCGCAGGGAGCUCGGGCCCAAGCUGGGGACCGCUAGUGGUCCAUGGACUGGAGCCCGCGAACUGGCACCGGUUCGUCCUUCCGACGCUCCGGGUGGGUGCUUUCUCUCUCCCAGCUCCUCAAACACAGCCAAGUUUUAUUUCUAAGCGGCAGGAUCGAGUAGGGCCAGCUGGUGGUUAGAGAUUUUAUUCUUCAAGAAAAGAGAAAAGAAAUUAUCGGUGGCCUGAUGAUUUGGAAAGAUGUCAGAAAUUUAUACAAAUGCAUUUAGCUAGUCAUCUAUACCUUGAUUCUUAAGCUGAGCGAAAGCAUGAAGUCUUACCCCAAGAGGCAGCGGAGGGGUGUUGGUGUGGGCUCGGAGUCCUAGGUCUGUCUUCUUAUACCCUCGAAGAGAUUUCCAACUCCGUCGCUACCCUCCAGGCGGGGUGGCGAGGGCUGGGCCGGACCUCCGGCGAAGGCGCGGACUCUGCCUCCUCUAGGAGCCCCACGGGACUUCCAAAGUUGUGCGCUCUGCUGGGGCUGGGACUCUGUACACAGAGCUCGGGGGCGGCGGCGGUGGGGUGAAGGGUGUGGGGGCCGCAUGAAGCCGCACCCCCACCACCACCACCUCGGUCCUCAGGGCCAAGCUAGGUGAGCGACCGGCUCUCCAGGAGCCGCGGCGGAGCCAAGGGUGGCUGCUAGCCGCGAUCUGGGUGGGCGCUGAGCGCCACAGACCCGGCGGGGGUCGGAGGGCCGCGUGAGUUUUCGCAGGACCGCAGGACUUGGAGCUGGAGGCGCUGGGUGGCUGGGCGGUGUGCGCCGGCUGCUGGGCGUCUGCACGGAAGCGGGAGCCGAGGCUGCUCCGCCGCUCUACGCUGGACUGGUUUUAUAGCCCCAGGAUGAAGCCGGCGUUGCCGAGCAGCCGGCGUCAGCCCCCACGUGGGAAGUCGACCCUCCUCCGCCCCUCGCGCCUCCCCUCCUUAGGUCUAGAGCCCGCACCCGAGUCGGACCCGGGAGAGCGCUGCCUCUGGGACCCGGCUUUUGGAAAGACGGGUACAGGGAGCGAGGGGCAAUAAGAGAGAGCCUAAGGAGUGGGGAGCGGCCCCUGCUGGGAGUUGGCCGUUCGGCUACUAGCUGGCCCAGGAGACAGUAGCAGGCGCCCAGCGGUACACCGAUCUAGCUGGGUUUUAGCAGAAGAGGGUGCCAGGGUGCUGGGACCCGAAUUAGGAGAUGCAGAGUGGCAUAAGAGUCGCUGGCGAGCAGCCCCGCCCCAGGUCAAGCGCAGGUGCUUCUGGUGACUGGGAUGAAAGGGAUCCCGGAGAGGUAAGCGUGUGCGGGUUCCUAAGGAACCACUGGAGCGGAAUGGACCAGCAUCCACGAGAGCAGACCAGGCCGGAGUUAUCCAUACUUAGGGAAGAGAAGGCCUCCUAUCCUAGCAGCUGCCGGGACUCUCAAGGCCUGGACUCUGCACUGCGCCCCUUUGAAAGGCGGUGGGGAAGGGUCCUGGAGGGGUAGGCCCUGAGCCAUGACAGAACGAGAGCGCACUGACACCUGCUGGCCGCUGGUCGUCACGGCUGGAAAGCGACUUAAGGGCUCCAGGCUCCUCUGGAGUCCUUUCCUCCAUUUUUCUCCUAUCUUGGGGGCAAGUUUGGACUAAGCUGGGGCGGCGGGGGUGGGGGGGGGGGAGGGGACACGGACAGAUUUCAAACUGCACUAUGUCAUGAUGCAGAAAUCUUCAGGUUGUAUAGAUCUACCUCUGAUGAGAGUAAGGCUCGGAACCUUCUACAGAUGUGAGAGUCCUGGAUCUUCCUCUCUGCUUGCCUGGCUUUAAACUACUGGGAACCGUUAAGCAUUAGUUGAGGCACAGCUACUUUAUGAAGAGCGCCAUGACAUUAUAGGUAGAUGUAAGCCUUACGCUGUUUUAAUCAGUACCUACUGUGUGCACGAAUUAAAGUAUUACACUGAACUCC
rnacentral:lncRNA from 1 species